AGCAGUCGCGGUAAUUCCAGCUCCAAUAGCGUAUAUUAAAGUUGUUGCAGUUAAAAGCUCGUAGUUGAAUUUCGAGACCGGCUUACUGGUCGUGCUAUUGUACGUACUGGUAUAAUCGGUUUCUCCUUUCUGACGAACUAUAAUGCCAUUAAUUUGGUGUUAUAGGGAAUCAGGACUGUUACUUUGAAAAAAUUAGAGUGUUUAAAGCAGGCUCACGCUUGAAUACAUUAGCAUGGAAUAACGGAAUAGGACGUUUGAUUCUAUUUUGUUGGUUUCUAGGAUCGACGUAAUGAUUAAUAGGGAUAGUUGGGGGCAUUAGUAUUCAAUUGUCAGAGGUGAAAUUCUUGGAUUUAUUGAAGACUAACUACUGCGAAAGCAUUUGCCAAGGAUGUUUUCAUUAAUCAAGAACGAAAGUUAGGGGAUCGAAGACGAUCAGAUACCGUCGUAGUCUUAACCAUAAACUAUGCCGACUAGGGAUCGGAUGAUGUUAAUUUUUUCAAUGACUCAUUCGGCGCCUUAC
rnacentral:rRNA from 1 species